rnacentral:misc_RNA from 1 species
GGCUAUGCGGGCUCACAUAACAGAGAUAAGUGCAAUAGCACUAACUAACUAUAUCUAUAUAGAAUGUUUUUUUUUUUAAUUAUAAAUUUAUAUAUUAUACUUAUUUAUAGCAGUUAGUUAUAGCAGAUUAGAUUAAUCUAGAGCAGAUCGGUACUAAGGAAAGGAUAAGAUAAGGAUGCAAUCCAGAUCAUAAUGAGACAUUUCUCUGGUUUCAUUCAGAAAAAAAAAAAUGAAUUUCGACCGUUCCAGUUUUCAAAAUCGCGCGGAAAAAAUGACCGGGGGGGAAGGUAUGUAUAUGUGGAAUAUCUCUAUCCAUAUUGAAUUGCGGAUACAUCAAUGAUAGAAUCAUUUCUGAUGGGACCAAAUAUGGGGUCUUCCGAUAGAGAAUUUGGACAAAAAAUCAAAAAAAAAUCAUUAAAAUAUUAAAAUAGGAGUUGACCCUUUUUCGAAAUUAGGAAUCAGUAUCUAAUGAAUUCAACGGUUCUGACAUAAAUAAAUGAAAGAGGGGGAUGGGAUCACAAU